UUCAACCCUGCACCCCUUCAUCCUACAAGCGCACAUGAUUGCAAUCAAGUCAUGUAAGUUGGGAAGGACCCAGAGGAUUGCUAUAUAGCUGGACUAACAUAGCGAGGAGCAACAACUUACUCGGUAUCACAGUCAUGCUCGGAUGUGGCUAGCACCAAUAAGAAGUGGUCUGGGUGAAAAAAAG